UACGUAGGGUGCGAGCGUUAAUCGGAAUUACUGGGCGUAAAGGGUGCGUAGGUGGUUGGAUAAGUUAUCUGUGAAAGCCCCGGGCUCAACCUGGGAAGGUCAGAUAAGACUGUUCGACUCGAGUAUAGGAGAGGGUAGUGGAAUUCCCGGUGUAGCGGUGAAAUGCGUAGAGAUCGGAAGGAACACCAGUGGCGAAGGCGGCUACCUGGCCUGAUACUGACACUGAAGCGCGAAAGCGUGGGGAGCAAACAGG
rnacentral:rRNA from 1 species